UGAGGAACUGCAGUUUGUCAGAGAUCAGCUGUUCUGCUCUGGCCUCAGCUCUGAAGUCCAACAUCCAUCUGAGACAUCUGGACCUGAGAGGAAACGCUCUGCAGGAUUCAGGAGUGGAGCUGCUGAGAGAUCUUCUGGAGAGUCCAGACUGCAGACUGGAGACCCUCAGGAUCAGAUAUGAUGAGACGAUCAGAGCCAAGAUCCAGAAGAACUGAACUCCCAUCCCCCGAGUCCUGCGGCAGGAAGCGCUCCUUCUCUCCAAGAACUCCUGGACCCUGUAAGCUGGUCCAGAACCAGAGUCCCAGUGAGGAGUCCAGCCAGUCCACCUCUCAGAGUUAAACUAAACUACAACAUUAUUAAAGAUCAUGUUUAAAGUUAAAAAAGGAUGCUUUCAGACUGAAUCCAGGAGUUUCUCAAGCUGCAGUCAAAGCAGGUCAUUUGAGGAAUAUAUAAAACAAUUAUAAAACUGUAAUAAGAAUUACUCUGAAUACUUUCUUUGGACAUUUUAUUUAAACGACAUUUUAAACAAAUAUUUUUAAAUGUUUCUGACUUUCUAUCUGAGUGCUUUUCUCAUGAAUUAACGACUUAAAUCUUGUUUUCUUUCUUGUGUAUUUCAUAAUCCUUCAGGAUAUUAUAUAUUUUUUUCACAUAACUUUAAGACUAAAUAUUAUUUUCUUCCAUAAAUAUCCCACUUCUUGUACUUAUAUCCUGAUUGAUGAGUCAACAGUAAAGCAGCCAGGCGUUAACGGUCAGCUGGCAUGUGUAUCUGUUCAUUGGCUCAUAUGUGUAGCAUGUUUAAU